rnacentral:rRNA from 1 species
UGGGGAAUAUUGCACAAUGGGCGAAAGCCUGAUGCAGCAACGCCGCGUGAGUGAUGAAGGCCUUCGGGUUGUAAAGCUCUGUCUUUUGGGACGAUAAUGACGGUACCAAAGGAGGAAGCCACGGCUAACUACGUGCCAGCAGCCGCGGUAAUACGUAGGUGGCAAGCGUUGUCCGGAUUUACUGGGCGUAAAGGAUGCGUAGGCGGAUUUUUAAGUGAGAUGUGAAAACCCUAAGCUUAACUUGGGGACUGCAUUUCAUACUGGAAAUCUAGAGUGCGGGAGAGGAGAAUGGAAUUCCUAGUGUAGCGGUGAAAUGCGUAGAGAUUAGGAAGAACACCAGUGGCGAAGGCGAUUCUCUGGACCGUAACUGACGCUGAGGCAUGAAAAGCGUGGGUAGCAAACAGGAUUAGAUACCCUGGUAGUCCACGCCGUAAACGAUGAGUACUAGGUGUAGGAGGUAUCGACCCCUUCUGUGCCGCAGUUAACACAAUAAGUACUCCGCCUGGGAAGUACGAUCGCAAGAUUAAAAACUUAAAUGAAUUGACGGGGGUCAUAGCUGUUUCCU